GCCGGGCGCGGUGGCGCGCGCCUGUAAUCCCAGCUACUCGGGAGGCUGAGGCUGGAGGAUCGCUUGAGCUCAGGAGUUCUGGGCUGCAGUGCGCUAUGCCGAUCGGGUGUCCGCACUAAGUUCGGCAUCAAUAUGGUGACCUCCCGGGAGCGGGGGACCACCAGGUUGCCUAAGGAGGGGUGAACCGGCCCAGGUCGGAAACGGAGCAG
rnacentral:sRNA from 1 species